rnacentral:rRNA from 1 species
UUCUCGUAGGGGGGACCUGCGGAAGGAUCAUUACCGAGUGAGGGCCCUCUGGGUCCAACCUCCCACCCGUGUUUAUUUUACCUUGUUGCUUCGGCGGGCCCGCCUUAACUGGCCGCCGGGGGGCUUACGCCCCCGGGCCCGCGCCCGCCGAAGACACCCUCGAACUCUGUCUGAAGAUUGUAGUCUGAGUGAAAAUAUAAAUUAUUUAAAACUUUCAACAACGGAUCUCUUGGUUCCGGCAUCGAUGAAGAACGCAGCGAAAUGCGAUACGUAAUGUGAAUUGCAAAUUCAGUGAAUCAUCGAGUCUUUGAACGCACAUUGCGCCCCCUGGUAUUCCGGGGGGCAUGCCUGUCCGAGCGUCAUUGCUGCCCUCAAGCACGGCUUGUGUGUUGGGCCCCGUCCUCCGAUCCCGGGGGACGGGCCCGAAAGGCAGCGGCGGCACCGCGUCCGGUCCUCGAGCGUAUGGGGCUUUGUCACCCGCUCUGUAGGCCCGGCCGGCGCUUGCCGAUCAACCCAAAUUUUUAUCCAGGUUGACCUCGGAUCAGGUAGGGAUACCCGCUGAACUUAAGCAUAUCAAUAAAACGA